GAUGAACGCUGGCGGCGUGCCUAAUACAUGCACGUCAAGCGAACGGACGAGAAGCUUGCUUCUCUGAUGUUAGCGCCGGCCGGGUGAGUAAUACGUGGAUAACCUACCUAUAAGACUGGGAUAACUUCGGGAAACCGGCGCUAAUACCGGACGAUAUCUUGAACCGCAUGGUUCAAGAGUGAAAGACAGUCUGGCUGUCACUAAUAAAUUGAUCCGCGCAGCAGUAGCUACCUGGUAAGGUAACGGCCUACCAAGGCAACGAUGGGUAGCCGGCCCGAGGGGGGGAGCGGACAGACUGGAACUGAGGCACGGUCCAGGCUCCUACGGGAGGCAGCAGUAGGGAAUCUUCCGCAAUGGGCGAAAGCCUGACGGAGCAACGCCGGGUGAGUGAAGAAGGGCUCCGGAUCGUAAAACUCUGUAAUUAGGGAAGAACAGAUGUGGAGGUAACUGUGCACGUCGUGACGGUGCCUAAUCAGAAUGCCGCGGCUAACUACGUG
rnacentral:rRNA from 1 species